rnacentral:rRNA from 1 species
GACGAACGCUGGCGGCGUGCUUAACACAUGCAAGUCGAGCGGUAAGGCCCUUUUGGGGGUACACGAGCGGCGAACGGGUGAGUAACACGUGGGUGACCUGCCCUCAGCUCUGGGAUAAGCCUGGGAAACUGGGUCUAAUACUGGAUAUGACCUUUCCUCGCAUGGGGUUGGGUGGAAAGUUUUUCGGCUGGGGAUGGGCCCGUCGGCCUAUCAGCUUGUUGGUGGGGUGAUGGUCCUACCAAGGCGACGACGGGUAGCCGGCCUGAGAGGGCGACCGGCCACACUGGGACUGAGACACGGCCCAGACUCCUACGGGAGGCAGCAGUGGGGAAUAUUGGCGCAAUGGGCGGAAGCCUGACGCAGCGACGCCGCGU